rnacentral:tRNA from 5 species
GCCCGGAUGGUGAAAUUGGUAGACACAAGGGACUUAAAAUCCCUCGGCGCAAGCCGUACCGGUUCGAUUCCGGUUCCGGGCACCA